UACGUAGGGGGCAAGCGUUGUCCGGAAUCAUUGGGCGUAAAGCGCGUGUAGGCGGCUUGGUAAGUCUGCUCUGAAAGCCCGGGGCUCAACCCCGGGAGGCGGGUGGAUACUGUCAAGCUCGAGUCCGGAAGAGGAGUGUGGAAUUCCUGGUGUAGCGGUGAAAUGCGCAGAUAUCAGGAGGAACACCAAUGGCGAAGGCAGCACUCUGGGACGUGACUGACGCUGAGACGCAAAAGCGUGGGGAGCAAACAGG
rnacentral:rRNA from 1 species